rnacentral:rRNA from 1 species
UACGUAGGGGGCAAGCGUUGUCCGGAUUUAUUGGGCGUAAAGCGCACGCAGGCGGUCUUUUAAGUUUUGAGUGACAGGCGAGGGCUUAACCCUGGCAGGCCUUGGAAAACUGGAAGACUUGAGGGCGAGAGAGGGAUGCGGAAUUCCAGGUGGAGCGGUGAAAUGCGUAGAGAUCAUGAGGAAGACCAGUGGCGAAGGCGGGUCUCUGGACAGUUCCUGACACUGAGGCACGAAGGCCAGGGGAGCAAACGGG